UUUUUCUGUGGCUUACUUACAACUCGAUCUCUGUUGGUCUUCCGCUUUUCAUUCUCCUUCUUAGUCGCGCUCUAUCCCUUCUCUCUUGCCAAAUCUUCCUCCCUUCUCUUUACCUUGUGAUUGACAUGUCUUCUGUCGCCGACGGCGUUACCUCCAACGCUCCUCUGCAAUAUUUCUGCUAUCAGUGCAGCCGCACCGUCUCCAUUACUCCUUCCUCUGAUCUCGUGUGCCCCAAUUGCAACGGUGGCUUCAUCGAGGAAGUGGAAAAUCCAAUUCCGAGCACUCCCCAUCCAUUCUCUUUCACGUACGAGUUUGGUGGCGACGAUCUCCCCAGCCUCUUCGGCGGUCGAUCGUCCCAUUUCGGAGACGCUGACGCCUUCAACCCUUUGGUAUUUCUUCAGAAUUACAUUCAAACCCUGAGAGCCGGUGGCGCUAAUGUUCAGUUCGUAAUUGACAACUCUGGGGACCCCACCGGAGCAUUUCGUCUCCCCGCAAAUCUCAACCUUGGUGAUUACUUCUUUGGGCCGGGUCUCGAGCAAUUGAUUCAGCACCUUGCGGAGAACGAUCCUAACCGGUAUGGGACACCCCCGGCCUCCAAGUCUGCCAUCGAGGGGCUCCCUAACAUCCCAAUUACGGAGGAGUUGCUGGCCACGGAUUCAUCACAGUGUGCGGUGUGUAAAGACACGUUCGAGCUUCGGGAAUUGGCCAAGCAGAUGCCCUGCAAACACAUCUAUCAUUCUGAUUGCAUCCUGCCUUGGCUGGAAUUGCACAAUUCUUGUCCUGUGUGUCGGUAUGAGUUACCUACUGAUGAUCCUGACUACGAGCAAAGGGCUCGCGGUCAAUCUACAGCUGCUAGUGCUGAUUCUUCUGCUGAUACAGACACCUCACAGUCACCCAGCGAGCGGAGCUUUAGGGUUUCUUUGCCCUGGCCCUUUAGGCAGUUUUCUUCCGUUGCGGAGACGAGCAAUAACAAUGGAAACACUACUGGGGAUUCUAAUCAGCCAGAAACCAGGCAAGAAGAUCUUGAUUGAGUAUCAUCAGUGUUUCGAAUGUGCUCUGCUUCUCCAUCUCUGCUGUCCCAACCACCUAUGCUGCCCCAACAUAAUGCCUAUAUUAUCUGUUGUUAUUUUAUAAUUUUGGGAAUGUUUUGUUUGAAUGUUACAAUUAUUAUGUUGGAUAUCUAUUUAUUGUUAAUUCAAUGUUGAUUUUAUCAUUGUGUUAAUUUGUUAUUUAAUAAAUUAUGCAUGAUAAUGUUUAUAAGUACCAAUGGAAUUUAAAAUUUCAGAUUGCAAAGCAACUAUUGGUGAACAUUUUUGUUAUUGUUUGAAAUUAAGCUGUCCCAUUCGAUUGAAGGUGAAGGAUCUGAUGGGGAGCCACCACAAAGGCGGGAGCUCCAAUUCUGCAAGUGAUUUUUCAGACCUGUCUUUGCAGUCUGAAGUUCUUAAAAUGGAGCUUCAAGCUACCAAAAAGGAAAGGGACAAAGCAAUUAUGAAGCGUGAUGUGUACAAGGAAGUGUUGGAAGAAUUUGUUGAUAUGAAGUUGAAGGACUGUCAAGCGUGAUGUGUACAAGGAAGUGUUGGAAGAAUUUGUUAAACUGAAGUUGAAGGACUGUGAAUGAAUGAAUUAUGUAUCAUUUUUUUGUUGGGAAAUAUUUACAACUAUGUAAAUUAACCUUUCUUGUUCCAUCAGAUGCUGUGUGAAUUUCUUUCGGGGCAAGAGCCUUGAACUCAGCAUUUUCAUUCAACAUUUUCCACGUGCCCGCAUCUA